AACUCCUGCCAAUGGACAAAGAGACAUCUUUUUGGUGUUGCAGUUCUUCUAUCAGUCAGGGGCAGAGCGGAUGGCAGUUGUUUGUUCAUCCUAGCUUGAUGCAUGGCUUGGUGUCCCAGUCUGUUUUAUGCCUACGACUCAUAA